GUGAGUAACUGAUGCAACAUAGUGAUUCGACGAGCUAAACGUUGAAAUCUAAAAGAAACUGGUGUUGUUCAACGGAUUGUUAUGCUGCUGGACGGGGUUUUGGUAAUUGGAAUGGGCCUUUUAACGUGGUCCCCAUCAUAAACUCGCCAAAAUUUCAGAUUCUCAUCACUGGCUGCAGUUGAAAGAAUUCUUCCAUCAGGCGAUAAAGCUGAAUACAAAACUCGGGUAUCAUGUGCAGGAAUAUCAACUUGUUUGGUUAAUCCGCUGCUACUAUAAGACCAUAUAGACAAAUUGUUAUCUGGAAAGCCAUGAGUAGACAUGAUUUCUUUAGAAUGAGGGCUCCAAAUCAGUGAAGUGACCUGACUACCCGCAUCCACGGUGUUAACUCUUGCACCAGUGGCAGCAUUCCAAAAGUGAAUCUGUUUAUCCAUUGUGCCACCGCCUGUCGCCAAUAGAUUACUUUGCCAAGGGCACCAAGCAACUGCCUUUACAGCAGCGUUAUGGUUGGUUUUGGUAAAUUUGGGAAUCGAAGAUCUGGCAUCCCAAAUUUGAACAACGUUGUCAUUACCGCCAGAGGCCAACUGAAGACCGUCUGAACGCCACGCCAAACCACAGACUUCACUAGAGUGUCCCUGAAGAGUCCCAAUCUGAUGAUUAGCGAUACGCACAUCAUGAUGAUGAAUAGCGCCAGAACGGCUACCACUCGACAGAACGUGACGAUUCCAGGAGAGACAACCAACUCUAGCUUGAUGGCCUGCCAUUGUUCGAAGUUUUGUCUGUGAUUCAACAUCAUAUAUAUCAACGAGCCCGUUUCCAAGACCGACGGAUAAAAAUGAACCAUCGUGAGACCAUUUUACACUAGCAACAUAGGUUGAUUCAUCGGUUUCUGCCAAAGCGCUAACCGAACCACUAUCAGCAUUCCAAACAUACACAUUGCGCUCCAAAGCAACAGCAACGACGUUUAAGUUUGACCAAUCCAGCAAAUUCAAGUAGUAAUCAUCAAUGAUACCAGGAGCAUCUAAAACUCGUUCAGGAGUAGUGUUAAAGCGUCGUUUAGCCGGUGUAACCACAGGUCUUUGAGGCCGAUUGUGUUGAGUGCGCAAGUCUACAGGCUUUUUGGCCUCAGGAGCAUCCAAUUUAAAGGCGAGAACACGCGUGUUUAAAUCAAAACCGCAUGCUUCAGCAACUGAUUCACUAUAAUCAAAAGGAACGUCACUGCUGAUAGAAUUUACAAAAGCAUUAGCAGUGUUUGGACGAGAAGGAAUAAAGCGGUCACUUCGACUGGCAGGACGACUUUUGUUUCGUGGUGAUCCGCAUAGUGGAAUAGACCAAUCUGUAUUUACUACAUCGAUUUUUGGUGAGUUUCUGAUAAAAGAAGAUUUAGGGGAGCAACGCUUGGAAGAACGACCGUUACGGCCUAAAAGUGCCUGCUGAUGCAGGGGAGUUAUAGGGCUGUUAGGGAAGACUAAGUUCCUUUUCUUUGUGGGUGUUGAAAAUGUAGGCGAUAUGGUUGAAGAAUUACCUGCUAUCUCCAUUUUGAUUAACUCGCUCAAAAUAUAUAUGUAAAAGAAAAAUAAUGCAAGAAGCGAAUAUCAAAGGACAGAAACGUAUCCAAAACUUUGAAUAAAACUUCUAAUGAAUUAGAA